UAAUACCACAUGUUAGGACCACCAUCAGGCUGUUAAAAAGGAAAGAUUGGCCCAAUCAAAUCUCCCAAAAUCUAAGGCAAUUCCCUUCAAUCUUAAGCAUGUGAGCUAAAGUUGCGUAUUAACACCUAUAACUAAUAACCUGCGAUCCUUGAGCUCGUGAGGAUUGAUUCUCCACUUGCAUUACCAAAUUUGGAUGUAACACAUGACUACUCUCCUCUAUAAAGGAGAACAAAGGGGACUCUUAGGUAAGUUCUUUUUCAAGAGAAAUAAGAGCACACACUCUCUCCAAUUUCCUUUCUUCUACUAUUCUCAAGCUUUGGCUAACUUA
rnacentral:lncRNA from 1 species